rnacentral:rRNA from 1 species
UACAGAGGGUGCGAGCGUUGUCCGGAAUUAUUGGGCGUAAAGAGCUCGUAGGCGGCCUGUCGCGUCGGCUGUGAAAACCCGAGGCUCAACCUCGGGCCUGCAGUCGAUACGGGCAGGCUAGAGUUCGGUAGGGGGAGACUGGAAUUCCUGGUGUAGCGGUGGAAUGCGCAGAUAUCAGGAGGAACACCGGUGGCGAAGGCGGGUCUCUGGGCAGUUGCUGACACUGAGGCGCGACAGCGUGGGGAGCAAACAGG